AGUGAACGCUGGCGGUAGGCCUAACACAUGCAAGUCGAACGGCAGCACAGUAAGAGCUUGCUCUUACGGGUGGCGAGUGGCGGACGGGUGAGGAAUACAUCGGAAUCUACUUUUUCGUGGGGGAUAACGUAGGGAAACUUACGCUAAUACCGCAUACGACCUACGGGUGAAAGCAGGGGAUCUUCGGACCUUGCGCGAUUGAAUGAGCCGAUGUCGGAUUAGCUAGUUGGCGGGGUAAAGGCCCACCAAGGCGACGAUCCGUAGCUGGUCUGAGAGGAUGAUCGGCCACGCUGGAACUGAGACACGGUCCAGACUCCUACGGGAGGCAGCAGUGGGGAAUAUUGGACAAUGGGCGCAAGCCUGAUCCAGCCAUACCGCGUGGGUGAAGAAGGCCUUCGGGUUGUAAAGCCCUUUUGUUGGGAAAGAAAAGCAGCAGGUUAAUACCCCGCUGUUCUGACGGUACCCAAAGAAUAAGCACCGGCUAACUUCGUG
rnacentral:rRNA from 1 species